UACGUAGGCAGCGAGCGUUGUUCGGAGUUACUGGGCGUAAAGGGUGUGUAGGCGGUUCUUUAAGUUUGGCGUGAAAUCUCCCGGCUCAACCCCGGGAUGCCGCUCGAAACUGGCGCGCUUGAGGACGGAAGAGGGGAGUGGAAUUCCUGGUGUAGCGGUGAAAUGCGUAGAGAUCAGGAGGAACACCGAUGGCGAAGGCAGCCCCCUGGGCUAACACUGACGCUCAUGCACGAAAGCGUGGGGAGCAAACAGG
rnacentral:rRNA from 1 species